rnacentral:rRNA from 1 species
AACGAACGCUGGCGGCAUGCCUAACACAUGCAAGUCGAACGAUGCCUUCGGGCAUAGUGGCGCACGGGUGCGUAACGCGUGGGAAUCUGCCUUUCGGUUCGGAAUAACUCAGGGAAACUUGAGCUAAUACCGGAUAACGUCGCAAGACCAAAGAUUUAUCACCGAAAGAUGAGCCCGCGUAGGAUUAGCUAGUUGGUGAGGUAAAGGCUCACCAAGGCGACGAUCCUUAGCUGGUCUGAGAGGAUGAUCAGCCACACUGGGACUGAGACACGGCCCAGACUCCUACGGGAGGCAGCAGUGGGGAAUAUUGGACAAUGGGAGAAAGCCUGAUCCAGCAAUGCCGCGUGAGUGAUGAAGGCCUUAGGGUUGUAAAGCUCUUUUACCCGGGAAGAUAAUGACGGUACCGGGAGAAUAAGCCCCGGCUAACUCCGUG